rnacentral:rRNA from 1 species
UACGUAGGUGGCAAGCGUUGUCCGGAUUUACUGGGCGUAAAGAGCGCGCAGGCGGUCGUUCAAGUCGCGUGUGAAAGCCCCCGGCUCAGCUGGGGAGGGUCACGCGAUACUGAUCGACUCGAAGGCAGGAGAGGGUAGUGGAAUUCCAGGUGUAGCGGUGAAAUGCGUAGAUAUCUGGAGGAACACCGGUGGCGAAGGCGGCAUCCUGGACCGAAACUGACACUGAGGCGCGAAAGCCAGGGGAGCAAACGGG